rnacentral:rRNA from 1 species
AACGAACGCUGGCGGCAUGCCUAACACAUGCAAGUCGAACGAGAUCUUCGGGUCUAGUGGCGCACGGGUGCGUAACGCGUGGGAAUCUGCCCUUUGGUUCGGAAUAACAGUUGGAAACAACUGCUAAUACCGGAUGAUGACGAAAGUCCAAAGAUUUAUCGCCAGAGGAUGAGCCCGCGUAGGAUCAGCUAGUUGGUGUGGAAAAGGCGCACCAAGGCGACGAUCCUUAGCUGGUCUGAGAGGAUGAUCAGCCACACUGGGACUGAGACACGGCCCAGACUCCUACGGGAGGCAGCAGUGGGGAAUAUUGGACAAUGGGCGAAAGCCUGAUCCAGCAAUGCCGCGUGAGUGAUGAAGGCCUUAGGGUUGUAAAGCUCUUUUACCCGGGAUGAUAAUGACAGUACCGGGAGAAUAAGCUCCGGCUAACUCCGUGCCAGCCGCCGCCGUAA